CAUAAAAUGUUGUUUCAGAUUAUUUAUUCAAUUUAUUUUAUUUAUAUCCAAUUCUAGCCAUUAGCAAAUCAUCGACAAUUGCUUAAAAUGACCUAACUACUAACAAUACAAAAUACAAUAGAAUAAUACAUUUAGUAAUACAUUCACAAGUGUACAUUAAUCCUCAAAUAAAUUAACAUGAGGACCAGGCUUAAGCUAUGUGAUAAAAGGAUGUAAACACUUUCCAAACAAUAUUAGAGAAAAUGUUAUCUCUAUUAAUAAGGGGAAAUAUUGCAAAAGAAUUAAGAAGUAAAACAGUUUACAAACAUCAAUUCUAACAUAAUUAAGGACAUUAAACCUAAGACAAGAACGAAAUGUUUAGUAAUUAAGAUGAAAAUAACUCAAAAAUUCUACAUCGCAACUAGAAGAAAAUUGGACUUAUAAAGAGACAAUAUAAUGCAAUAAAAUAUAUGCCUAUAGAGAAAACUAAUGAUUCAAAGUAACAUCUAUUUUCUUCAAAAUGAAAAAAAA